UUUUCUCUAAUUCAUUCUUUAUACGGAACUAAAAUUACAACAUGGUCAUGUCAUUUUCCUCUCUCUGUGUCUCUCUCUUUCUGUCUUGUCUGAAUAUUAGGAGGCAUCCUUAAUUCCUCUUUCCUCUUUUUUCUCCAAACAUAAGUCUCAUCAACUCAGCAUUUAAAUUGACCACAGAUAGGACCACUUCUCUCCACCCCCAAGUCUGAGUUAAGUGUCUACGUUGGAUGCUUCCAGAUCCACUGUACUUACCUCUACUAAAGAUACUGAUAGAAAAGUCCGUUGCAGGACUUUUCUUAAACAGCUGAUCCCUGUCACAUUGGAAACAGAUGACUUCUGCAUCAACAUAUACUUUGGAUGAAGCUACCUAAUAUCACAUCUGGAAAUGGAAAUGUCUGAAAGAAAUGUCAUUCAUUGCAGAGGGCAAGAAGCAGAAACCUGAGAUAAAUAUGCCUCCAUCAAACGGAAGCAGGCAAAAUUACCGAAGGAAAGAAACCAGACAUGCCUUGGUGCUCUCUCAGAUAAUAAUUUAUAAAUGCCAAAGUUUUCAUCAAAUCAGUAAUAAAAUAGAUAGUCUAGUUAUGCACAUAGAGUUACAGAAAGAAGAAUAUGAAAUAAUUAAAUUA